rnacentral:rRNA from 1 species
AUAGGGAGUUGGUAUCAGGCACACAAAUUUGUAGCCCAUGACACCUAGCUUUGCCACGCCCCCAAGGGAAUUCAGCAGUGAUAAACAUUAAGCCAUAAGUGAAAACUUGACUUAGUCAUGAUCUAAAGAGUCGGUAAAACUCGUGCCAGCCACCGCGGUUAUACGAGAGACCCAAGUUGUUAGCCAACGGCGUAAAGGGUGKUUAGAACUAAAAACAACAAACUGAGACCGAACACCUUCAAGGCUGUUAUACGCUUCCGAAGCAACGAAGAACAAUAACGAAAGUAGCCUCACUAACUCGAACCCACGAAAGCUAGGACACAAACUGGGAUUAGAUACCCCACUAUGCCUACCCCUAAACACGAUAUGAAACUACGUACAUAUCCGCCUGGUUACUACGAGCAUUAGCUUAAAACCCAAAGGACUUGGCGGUGCUUUAAAACCAUCUAGAGGAGCCUGUUUUAAAACCGAUACUCCCCGUUCAACCUCACCCCUCCUUGUUUUAACC